rnacentral:tRNA from 1 species
GCCUGCGUUGUCUAAUGGCUAUGACGUCAGACUUCUACUUUCGCGGUGAGUAUCUGGAGGUUGCGGGUUCGAGUCCCGCCGUGGGUU